CUUUGGAUUCAGCUCAGACCACUGAGGUUUAGAAAAGGUGCUAAAUCUCAGGAAUUCCCCACCCCCAUACUCUCUCAUUAGACAAGGUUUUGAAAGAGCACUCGUACCAGCAGAACUGAAGCGAUGUGAGUGGCAGCCCUGUGCGCUUGUUAUUUGACACAUCUUCCUCCAUGAGAGGCUAAUGCUUCAGCUGUGUCGGGGCUUACCUGAAGCCAUCAGGAGAAGAUCAAAAAUGUAAAACUCUAUGGUAAUGCCCUACGCUGAAAGGAAGUGGAUUUAGAGCUAGAAGAAGACUUACCUCUCACCGUAGUUCGCACAGCAUUCAGAAAUCCAGAAUCUUCUGGUCUUUGAGUACCCCUCUGUCUAUUGGACAGUGGCGCCCAUGGAGAUGGCUCCAUAUCUCUGCUCACCAUUGUGCUCCCAGUGCCUGCCACGUCGACUGACUGCAGAAGAUGCCGGUGAAAAAUAUUUGACAAGACAAGCAAAUUUCCCAAGGGGACAUAACUAGAAAAUGCAGAGCCUGAAUUCAAACCUGUCAGUCUCUCUCGAACCCAGCCUCUAAGCCAGGAUGUUUCUCCCGAGUCUGAGUUGGGAUGGAUAAAACUUUGUGAUGAGUAUUUGAAAGUAGGUCUCAAAGCAGGAGUCCUGAGGAAAAGGUUGUGUUGACACAGCGCCAACCUGGGAACAGAUCCUUGGAACUGGAAAUUGAACAAUGGGGAGCCCUCCCCAGAAAAGAAAGCGCUGAGUCUGACAUGGUGCAGGUUGGUGGUCCACACUGGUGAGGAAACAGCGGCAAUUGACGCCAUGCCCAAGGCUGGCUGGGGGCAGCUGAGACGGCCUCGGGACUGCAGAACAACUCCCUCACCCUCCCAGGCUUUGGAUCUACCUUGAAUGCAAAACGGCUCUCUUCCUAAACACCAGAUUGAGCGCUCUCUCUCUCUCUCUCUCUCUCUCUCUCUCUCUCUCUCUCUCUCUCUCUCUCUCUCUUCUUGCUGGCUGUAAUAGGAGCUGGAGGGGUGCAUCAAAGAAGCAGCAGAGCUGGGGAUCCAUUCUGCAAACUUUAAUUGCUCCAAAGGAGCAGUUAUGGUAUGUAUACAUAAAAGACCCUAAUUAUCUGUUAGCCCAAUAAAACAAGUUUCAAAGGGCCCACAAAGACCAAUUCACCAAAUGUGUAAUCUGUAAUUA